UAUUGGUCAAUGGACGAGAGUCUGAACCAGCCAAGUAGCGUGAAGGAUGACUGCCCUAUGGGNUGUAAACUUCUUUUAUAUGGGANNCANNNUNUCCACGUGUGGAAUUUUGUAUGUACCAUAUGAAUAANNNUNGNCUAACUCCGUGCCAGCAGCCGCGGUAAUACGGAGGAUCCGAGCGUUAUCCGGAUUUAUUGGGUUUAAAGGGAGCGUAGGCGGGUUGUUAAGUCAGUUGUGAAAGUUUGCGGCUCAACCGUAAAAUUGCAGUUGAUACUGGCAUCCUUGAGUACAGUAGAGGUAGGCGGAAUUCGUGGUGUAGCGGUGAAAUGCUUAGAUAUCACGAAGAACUCCGAUUGCGAAGGCAGCCUGCUGGACUGUAACUGACGCUGAUGCUCGAAAGUGUGGGUAUCAAAC
rnacentral:rRNA from 1 species